rnacentral:rRNA from 1 species
AGUGAACGCUGGCGGUAGGCCUAACACAUGCAAGUCGAACGGCAGCACAGUAAGAGCUUGCUCUUACUGGUGGCGAGUGGCGGACGGGUGAGGAAUACAUCGGAAUCUACUUUUUCGUGGGGGAUUACGUAGGGAAACUUACGCUAAUACCGCAUACGACCUACGGCAUAAAGCAGAGGAGCUUCGGACCUUGCCCGACUCAAUGAGCCGAUGUCGGAUUAGCUAGUUGGCGGGGUAAGGGCCCACCAAGGCGACGAUCCGUAGCUGGUCUGAGAGGAUGAUCAGCCACACUGGAACUGAGACACGGUCCAGACUCCUACGGGAGGCAGCAGUGGGGAAUAUUGGACAAUGGGCGCAAGCCUGAUCCAGCCAUACCGCGUGGGUGAAGAAGGCCUUCGGGUUGUAAAGCCCUUUUGUUGGGAAAGAAAAGCAGCAGGUUAAUACCCCGCUGUUCUGACGGUACCCAAAGAAUAAGCACCGGCUAACUUCGUG